rnacentral:rRNA from 1 species
UACGGGGGGGGCAAGCGUUGUUCGGAAUUACUGGGCGUAAAGCGCGUGUAGGCGGCUCUUCAAGUCGAGUGUGAAAUCUCCCGGCUCAACUGGGAAACUGCAUCGGAAACUGAUCGGCUUGAAGAUGGGAGAGGGUAGUGGAAUUCCCGGUGUAGUGGUGAAAUGCGUAGAUAUCGGGAGGAACACCAGUGGCGAAGGCGACUACCUGGCCCAUUCUUGACGCUGAGGCGCGAAAGCUAGGGGAGCGAACGGG